rnacentral:rRNA from 1 species
UACGGAGGGUGCAAGCGUUAUCCGGAUUUACUGGGUUUAAAGGGUGCGCAGGCGAAUAUGUAAGUCAGUGGUGAAAUCUCUAGGCUUAACCUGGAAAUUGCCGUUGAUACUAUAUAUCUUGAAUGCUGUGGAGGUAAGCGGAAUAUGUCAUGUAGCGGUGAAAUGCUUAGAUAUGACAUAGAACACCUAUUGCGAAGGCAGCUUACUACGCAGAUAUUGACGCUCAUGCACGAAAGCGUGGGGAUCAAACAGG